GGGUACUUGUUUCCGGGGUGGAAACAGAUGGUGUCUCGCAGGUCUGAGAAGCCAUUCUUCUCCUAUAGUCUCAGUCACAGACCUGGCCACAGUACGGGAGCCGGUCACCCCAGCCCUAAAGGUGCCCUGAGGUUGCUGUGACCAUGGCAGAAGCUGCUGCUGACCUGAGCACAGGAAACAAUCUGGAGCAAAAGAUCCUACAGGCACUGAAUGAAAUCGGUGGCUCUGUGAAGAUUGGCCAGCUGGUAAAGAAGUGCCAAGCGCCCAAGAAAACAAUCAACUCAAUCCUUUACCGCCUGAAGAAGGAGGGCAAAGUAUCCUCCCCAGCCCCUACAACCUGGUGCUUAGGCGGGAGCUCUUCCGCAGAUGAGGCUCCUGCAGUCCCUGAGGAUCUCACCGCUCAGCCAAGCCUCGAUGAUAGAAUUUUCAGAUUCCUGGAGGCCAACGGACCUUGCAGGGCCCUGCAUAUUGCCAAGGCUCUGGGCAUGAAUACGGCCAAAGAGGUGAACCCAGACCUGUACAGAAUGAGAAGCAGUCACCUUCUGAGCUAUGACGGGCAGGCGUGGAUGAUCUAUGACUCAAGUCGGAAAGGUCAAGGGCUGGCUCAUUCUGAAAUGAGACAAGAGCACGCUGCAAUCAUUUACCAGCAGAAUCCCAUCAACAUGAUCUGCCAACAAGGAGCCAACAACCAUAUCUCCAUCUCUGAGUCAGAAGCCAUCCAGAUCGGGCAUGGGAACACCAUGCUAAGGCAGAUAGCCUGUGCUCAGAGAGGUCCCAGCCCCCAUCAUCCUCUCCUGCUACCCGCUCCAGAUGACCCCUCUUCUCAGAACACCCCACCUGGUGCCUGGGGAGCUCAGCACAUCCACAUGGAGAAGUCCUUGCUCCGCCGUGUGCAGCUGGGCCAUGGCAAUGAGAUGAGCCUCCCGAGGGACCCAGUGCAGCACCCUGCGGAGGAACACCCUGCUGGCAGCUUUACUGGCAGUCCCCCAGUCUCAGCUACCUCUGGUGACGCAGGAACUUCUUUCUACAUGCAAACACCCGAGCCAGGCCCUCACCCUGAGGGGGACACUGCCCAGAAAGUCCACAUCAGAUCCUCCUGGCUGGAGGAUGCCACCAUUGGCAACAGCAACAAGAUGACCAUCCGCACUGCUUCACAGGGUGGAGUUGGGGAGUCUGGAAACAGCGAGGAGCCAAAGGAAGAGACAGACUCGAGUUCUAAAGCCUCACCGUGUGGAAGCUGCUCCCGUGCCCCCAGCAGCUCCACGCUCCUCACUCCUAAGCUGAGGACCAUGACUCUGGGAGACAGCAGCCCCCAGACCACAGAACCUGCGCUUAGGGAGGACGGAGCCUCUGAUACCGGGGACUGUCGGACUCAGGAAUGAGUGGCAGGAUCCCAAAGGCCCUGAGAUCAUCCACACACCAGUCUCUAGAAGGAUUUGCUGUCUGAUGACAUCAUUGGGACGGAGUAGAGACUUUGGGAGAAUGAAGGAAAGGAGACAGUGAAGACAUCAGGGUCUCAUGUAGUCCAGACUGGCUUUGAGUCACUAUGUAGCCAAGGAUGACCCUGAACUUCUGAUCUGCUGACCUCCACUUCCUGAGAGCAGGCCAGAAAGCAAUGGAGUCAUGGGACCCUGGGUUGACACCUCUGCCACUAUGAGCCAAGCCAGCCUUUCCUGCCUCAAGAUCAAUCAUAUGAGCCAGCUCUACCAGAAGAGACAAGCCAACACAGCACACAGAUAGUUGCACAUCCCUGUUGACUGUGCACUUUCUGCAGCAGCUGAGAAAUGGUGGAUUAAGGAAAUUCGGAGUAUGCAUACAGCCACAUAAAAUAAUGAGGUUGUUUCAAAUGCUGGAAAGUGGAUGCAACCAGAGACGACCAUGCUAAGUGAAUGAAGCCAUCUCAUGUAAUUGGAAGUUUGUGUGUUCCACAGCCACUCUCAAAUAAACACUCAGAGGUUUAUAUUAA